rnacentral:tRNA from 1 species
CAGGACAUAAUUUAAAUAGAAUGUUGGCUUUGGGGGCCAAAAAUAGGGGUUGAAAUCCCUUUGUCUUGA